AAUGCCACUGAUCUGUUGUGUAACCUUGGGCAAGUCACUUAAUUUUGUUUUGUAACAAGUGACCAUCCAUUGCUCUGGAUCCUUUCACAGUUAACAUCUCUGGGCCUCAGUUAUCACAUCUGCAAAGCAAGGAUAAUGAUACUUUGAGAUUUGAAGCUAAGAAAGCUCUAGAAGAAUCUGAUCCAAAGACCAUUGACAGCAACUGAGGUCUUUUAAUUGACUUCAAUGGGCUUUGCAACAGGAUCCAUAAGGGCAAAGUAAUUAAAGUAAAUGGGACUAUCUGUGGUCUAAACAGAAUCAGGCCCUAUAGUCAUAUUCUUAUUAUUAGGGUUGUAUUUUCAUUUUCAUUGUCAAGCACUAUUUUAGUUAUUCUCUAGGAAUUCUGGCUGGGCUGAAACCAAAGAAGUGAUUGGUGUUUUUGGAGGUUUUCUAAUAUUCAUAUUAUUUUUAAAAAUACUGGAUACUUUUUAAGCUCUAGGUAUACAAAUAACUGGAAGAUAGUUUUCCAGCAUUUAACAAGAACUACAAAAUUACAAUUGUUUAAAUACAGCUUUUGUAGAGCAUUAGUCAAUUAUGUGGACUUGUGCCUUUUGGGUACAUUGAAACCAUGUGCGAUAACACUUCUUAAACAAAGUUUCAUAUUUUUACUACACAGAAUUACUGCACAGGCAUGGUGUAGUACACAUGAUAUAUUACCAACCAUGUAUUCGCUUUUCAAUACACAUAUUCUUGACAGUGCAAUUAGUCUAUCCAGCCAAUCAUUUUCAUUAUAAAUAUAGAUAUAUACGAUAAACUAUAACAACCAUUAGCAGUUUGUUAAAUCAAUAUGCCUCAUUUAGAAAAAGUAAAUCCUAAAUACAUAUUUACAUGAUACACAGCAAUGACUAUGGAGACCAGUAGUAGACAUUUUGUACAGACCUUAACAGCUUUUCCUACCAUGUGAACUCUUAUACAUCUCCUUGAGGGACAUCUUUCUUUUUUUAGCAGUAGAUUUUAAUAAAAAGUUCACACACAGAGGCUACA
rnacentral:lncRNA from 1 species